AUCAUGUCAUUUUACAAGGUAAAAAAAUAAUUUUCCCAAACAGCAGCUACUGAAUUGUUACAAAGAAAAUAUCCUCAACAAUAAAUACGCAUACCCA